rnacentral:lncRNA from 1 species
AUUAUCCAUCUAUUCUUCAUUUUACUAAUAAAAAUAUAAACACAAACGAGAGGAGUUACCUCGUUGUGGCAACUGCCAUCUUUCCUUUUUUCCUUUCAACAAUUAUUUUAUAGGAAAGAGGGAAAGAAUAUUAUCAAAAACCAAAAAGAGAAAAAGAGAAAAUUUAUAAGAAAAGAAAAGUAUAUAUAAGAAAAACAUCGAAACGAUGGUGGGAAAAAUAGUGGUUUCGUUGGUAUCACUGAUUCUUCUAGUUGGUGUGAUAGUGGGAGUUGUGAUGGUUGUGCACAAAAAUGGGGACAGCAAAGAUGAUAAAAGCACCAAAUUCCAAAUGAAGAAAGUGCAUGAGUUCUGUCAGGCCACUCAAUUCAAAGAUGCAUGUUCCAAAUCACUCGAAGGAGUUGCCAAAAAUGACUCCGCUACUCCACAGGACUACAUUAGUGCUGCCUUCCAGAACACUCUAGAUGAAUUGAAAAAGGGUCUGGCCGAGACUGGAAAAACUUCUGUCGACAAAGACAAGGACCCUUACAAUCAUAUGGCGAUGGAUGAUUGCAAGCAGCUCUUGCAAUUCGCUAUCGAGGACCUCCAGGACUCUCUCAGCGUUGUUGGUGAGAGUGAUACCCAGUCACUCCACCAGUAUAC